CUUGCAGGAGAUGUUGCUGUUGGACUAGGUGUAAACCGCUUUUUUUUUUCAACCGUACUGGAAAAAUUGAAGUUGGGUUUUUCUAUAAACUUUGGAAACUCCAUUGUUACACGACUUUUCGAAGGAGAACCUGGCCACUGGGUCCCAUCAGCCUCUCACUUUCUUGUUGAAAGUGACAUGUUCUUAGUGGCUGGCAGAAUGAUAGGCCACGCUUUCCUUCAUGGAGGACCACGCCUGUCAGGACUUAGUCCUGCUGUUAUUCAUGUUCUAUUUGGCGGCAGUCCAGAAACAGCAACUGUCACCCUGGAGGACUGCCCAGACCUAGACAUCAGGGAAACCAUCAGUCCUCUCGAAGGAGAAUCCAGGCUCUCUGAUACUCAAAUGGAAAGAGUACAGAGCUUGGCAUAUUCAUGGGACCUUCCUUGUCCCACAGAGAACAA